rnacentral:rRNA from 1 species
AGUGAACGCUGGCGGCGUGCUUAACACAUGCAAGUCGAACGAGAACGGGUCUAAGCUUGCUUAGAUUGUCAGCUAAGUGGCGCACGGGUGAGUAAUAUAUAGGUAACAUGCCUUCGAGAAGGGGAUAACGUUUGGAAACGGACGCUAAUACCCUAUAUGCCUUUAAGACUUAAGUCUGCAAGGGAAAUAUUUAUAGCUCGAAGAUUGGCCUGUACAGUAUCAGUUAGUUGGUGAGGUAAUGGCUCACCAAGACAAUGACGCUUAACUGGUUUGAGAGGAUGAUCAGUCACACUGGAACUGAGACACGGUCCAG